rnacentral:lncRNA from 10 species
CCUGCAACUUUGAGCAAGUUCGUGAAUCUCACUAAGGCUCAGUUUCCUCCAUAAAAUUAAUCAAUAUCAGGGCCUCUGCAUUGGACAACUCCAGAGGGCACCAUUGGGGUUAUACCUUGUGUUUGCCUAACCUUCAUUGCAGUGGGCAGGUGCAUGCUUUCUACAAUGUCCUAAGGUCUAAAGGGGUAGAGUUCUGUGUGUGGCAUUUUAGGCCUGGAAAGGAUGAGAGUCUACAAAACCAGAGAAAUACUGCAGGUGAGUGAGGGGCUAAGAUCCAGAUGCCCCCUGCCACAUUGAUCCUCUCCAAGACAGGAGGCCCCAGAUCCCCAGAUCUGAAGCCCUUUUUAAGAGCAAGAGUAUCAGCUGAUGAAUUUCAUGCAUUGCACACCGUGACUCCCAAGAUGGUCUGUCAGAUCUCCAGGUUCUGGAGGUUGGAGGUUCCGCUCAGUGACAGCCUGGCGGUACAGCAUACCCAGGUUCAAAUCCCAGAUCUACCACUUAAUAACUAGGUAAUCUUGGAUGGAUUACUUAACCUUCUUAAGCCUCAUUU